rnacentral:rRNA from 1 species
UACAGAGGUCUCAAGCGUUGUUCGGAUUCAUUGGGCGUAAAGGGUGCGUAGGUGGCGUCGUAAGUCAGGUGUGAAAUUUCGGAGCUUAACUCCGAAACUGCAUUUGAUACUGCGGUGCUUGAGGACUGGAGAGGAGACUGGAAUUUACGGUGUAGCAGUGAAAUGCGUAGAGAUCGUAAGGAAGACCAGUGGCGAAGGCGGGUCUCUGGACAGUUCCUG